GUGGGACCUCCCUCAGCAAGGGGCUGCAAGCAGGAAAAAGAGAGGGGAAGCCAUUCCAAAGCUGCUUGAAUAGAGCAAAUUGUGAAAAGGAGCUGUUGGGUCUUGGUUUUCAGCAUUUGAGGGCUCUUAUUUCCAUUUCUCCCCCUGCACUGCAUGGACUGAACCCCUCAGCUUGUCCAUGGAGAGGGAAAAUCCCCUCAGGGAGAUCAUGGAAUGGUUCUCCAGCCCUGGAUGUGAUCCAUCUGUCCAGGGGGCAAAUAUAAAAAUAUUAUCCUGAGCAAAAAAAAAGCUGUAGCAGUAAUUCUCACUGCAGGGGGGAAAAAAAUAUAUAAAAUACAUGAACUACAGCAUAUAAAUCAAUUUUGGUUUAAGGGAAUUAAGAAAAACCACCACAAGCUAGAAAAGCACCCAGCACCUAUGGCAUCUAAUCAAUCUUGUAUCACUAGGAUGGAUUUGCUUUUUAUUUCUUAAUUCCAAAAAGUGGCUGGAGGGGCACUUGAACGGGCUGGGAAACCUCCAGCAGCUCUGGGAAAAUCCUGGUGGGGUUUUUGGGGAGGUGAGGAGCAGAGCUGAGCUUGGGGACCCUGGGGACAUGAGAUGCCACCAGGGAAUGUGACACAAGCAGGAGCAGGGUGUCCCCAGGGUGGAGAGGGAAGAGCUUUGGGUUAUCCAGAAGGGUUUGACAGCUCUGGGGACAAGGGGACAGCUGCCUAGCAGGGGGUGACACAAUUCCCAGCUCUGGAAAAAUCCUGAUGGGGUUUUUUGGGAUAUGAGGAGCAGGGCUGAGCUGAUGGAGGACCUUGGGGACAUGAGAUGCCACCAGGGGAUGUGACACAAGGGUGGAGAGGAAAUCUGGAGCCUGGGAAGAGCUUUGGGGCAUCCAGCAGUGUUUAAGAGCUCUGGGGACAAAGGGACAGCUGCCUAGCAGGGGGUGCCACCCAAGCAUCCACAAUUCCCAGAGGGGCAGAGCAGCUGGGGUGACAAGGAGGGGACAGGGAGGGGACAAGGAGGGGACAAGGAGGGAGAAGUCCCGGUGUGCUGAGGGCAGGGCCAUGCCUGCCCUGCCCGGGGGAGCAGCAGGGUCGGCAGGAGCGGGGACAUCUGUGACAAUCCCUCAGCCGAG
rnacentral:lncRNA from 1 species